rnacentral:rRNA from 1 species
UACGAGGGGGGCAAGUGUUGUUCGGAAUUACUGGGCGUAAGGGGCGCGUAGGCGGGUUCUUAAGUUAGGUGUUUAAUCCCGGGGCCCAACCCCGGACCGGCACUUAAAACUGGGAGUCUUGAAUAGUGGAGAGGUGAGUGGAAUUGGGGGUGUAGCGGUGGAAUGCGUAGAGAUCCCGAAGAACACCAGUGGCGAAGGCGGCUGACUGGACACAUAUUGACGCUGAGGCGCGAAAGCAUGGGGAGCGAACAGG